UAGGGAAUCUUCGGCAAUGGACUAAAGUCUGACCGAGCAACGCCGCGCGAGUGAAGAAGGUUUUCGGAUCGUAAAACUCUGUUGUUAGAGAAGAACAAGGACGUUAGUAACUGAACGUCCCCUGACGGUAUCUAACCAGAAAGCCACGGCUAACUACGUGUCAGCAGCCGCGGUAAUACGUAGGUGGCAAGCGUUGUCCGGAUUUAUUGGGCGUAAAGCGAGCGCAGGCGGUUUCUUAAGUCUGAUGUGAAAGCCCCCGGCUCAACCGGGGAGGGUCAUUGGAAACUGGGAGACUAGAGUGCAGAAGAGGAGAGUGGAAUUCCAUGUGUAGCGGUGAAAUGCGUAGAUAUAUGGAGGAACACCAGUGGCGAAGGCGGCUCUCUGGUCUGUAACUGACGCUGAGGCUCGAAAGCGUGGGGAGCAAACAGG
rnacentral:rRNA from 1 species